rnacentral:lncRNA from 1 species
GGGUGAGAGGUUGGGGAGUUUGCUGUCCUCUCUGUGAUGACUUGUUGCUGCCAAUCUGAUUCCUAAUGCUGUAGAUUUAUUAAGGCUAGAUGGUGGAAGAUUGGGCCCUGAUGACAACGGAGCCAUCCUGGGUUCCUCUGACCGUGAUGAACCUCCUGGGAGAGGCAGCCACAGCUGAAGCACACACAGCUCCCUUCUGCUGUGGCAGCCCCACGAGCCUGCAAACCCCCAUCUCAUCACAGCCUCGGUUCUCAGCUCUGAGGCUGGCCAGACCUCCAACUGAUGGUGGUUGCUAUUUCAGGCCCAGACAUAAUCAAAUCCAUGUGAAGAAAAGAGAUUUCUUCCUGCGUGGCCCUUUGUAAGAGAAAGAAAAUGUUCCUACAAGUCUUCCAGAGGAGUUCUUAAUGGCAGCAGUGAGGAUGCCAGAGUUCAUGGGUUUCUAGAAGACAAGUUUUCAACUGCAGAUACAAACAUCAGGACGUCAAUGUAUCUGCUAGGAGACACCCGGACAGUGUUGAGAACACAGAACCUGGAGGCUAAACCCCCAGCUUUCUAUGCCAGCUGAGAGUCUGUGGGCACAUUACUCAGCGUCUCUGAACCUCAUGCUCCUCCCCUGUGACAUGUAGAUUGCUAAACCCAUCUCACAGGGCUAUCUUCUGCAUUUAAAGAAUAAAAUAACACAUGAGGGGUCUAUCAAUG